rnacentral:lncRNA from 1 species
UCUCUCAAGCAACUUCACCAUUUCAUGUAAAGAAUUAUCUUGAUACCUUGGGCCAGAAGUUGAUUCAGCAGAUGCUCAACUUUGGAGAUGACUCCUACUGAACACAUGAAGUUAUGGAAGUAUUGAACACAGAAGUCAAGGUCAUUUCUAUCAUGCUCUAAACAGGCUCAAAAGUUACUUAUACACACACACACACACACACAAGCUCACUGGAUAAAUUAUCAUGCUAAACAGGCUCAAAAGUUACUAGUGUUUUUCUGUUUUAGUGUAUUACUUUUCGAGUUUGUUGAAAAAAUAGGAAGAAAAUCGCUAAGUGAAGAAGUUGUAUAUUGCUUAGCACCCAAAAUAAUUUAAAAAGACACUUCACCAAAGUGAAUCUAGAAGUUAUGAAACAUCAAUGUCAAAGUUUCCUAGAAUUUUACGUAUUUGCUCUAAAUUUUUUAUUCUAGCACUUUCUUAAUGUGUUCUCUGGUUUAAAUUUGUUUUGUUAAUAAUGAUUAUUUUUGUUUGGAGGAUGGAAGUCAGGUUAUAGGCUCUAUUUUAGACUUGCA